AUUGAACGCUGGCGGCAGGCCUAACACAUGCAAGUCGAACGAGAGGCGGACGGGCGAGUAAUGUCUGGGAAACUGCGUGAGGGAGGGGGAUAAGUACUGGAAACCGUAGCUAAUAGAGCAAAACAUGGGAUGUGGCCAGAAGGGUUUAGCUAGUCGGUGGGGUAACGGCGCAGCUAGGCGACGCUCCCUAGCUGGUCUGAGAGGGUGACCCGCCACACUGGAACUGAGACACGGUCCAGACUCCUACGGGAGGCAGCAGUGGGGAAUAUUGCACAAUGGGCGCAAGCCUGAUUCAGCCAUGCCGCGUGUAUGAAGAAGGCCUUCGGGUUGUAAAGUACUUUCAGCGUGGAGGCGUUACCCGCAGAAGAAGCACCGGCUAACUCCGUGCCAGCAGCCGCGGUAAUUC
rnacentral:rRNA from 1 species